CAGGCGCAAUAGGCAUUUCUUGAUUUCCGCUCGCUUCAGAAGGUAUAAAUAAGGAUUCCUGCGACUCCUUCGGUCUUUUGGGGGAGAGUUGCGCUGUCUGUACCUGUGGUCUGCCUUCACUCAAGAUUCCAAAUAACUUCGUUUGAGGAGAGAAGAGGAGCCUCACAUAACUUGUUGGUGAUUGGCAAUGCUUUUGGGUCCUUUAUCUGGCGGGGAGCGUUGGUAAAGUGGUACUAUUUUUGGAACAUAAGUAACUCCCUUUAGUGUAAAAGGGUAACAGGAGGAUAGAAAUGGAACUUUUCAGGUAUAGCCCCAGAACUUUAACCAGUAGAGCAAUGAAAUGUUCCAUUGGCCAAGUGACUCAUUGGAAUUUAUAAGGAAUUGCAGAAGGCACUGAGCAUGGACAGCUCUAAAAGAGAUUGUCCUUGGACUUAGGCCCAGAGACCCUUUCAGAAUGCCUAAGGUGAAAAAUUGUGAUACCAAAUUUAGACUGAAAGGACAGAAAGCUGAGACCCAUGGGAAACAAGGUGUCCUAUUAAAGAUAUUUCUGGUGUAUUUAUGAAUUAUAAUAAAGAUGACUAU